rnacentral:lncRNA from 1 species
UUCAAGUCCAAAAGUUUUGAUUUUCUUUCUUUCUUUCUUUUUUCCUAGAGGAGCAAUUAAAACACGUAGGGAGCAAAUGUGGCUGUAAUUACUGAGGCAUACGCUCACAAUUUCCUAGUAAGGUGAACUCAGGGUUCCUUCCAUCACUGCAUUCACAAGUGACUUUUUCUCUUCUUCUGGAGCCUGAUAGAACCCAGCUGAGGGCAUUAAGUAUACACUUUUAUCUCCACUGGGAUGACAUAUUAAUAAAAGGUUCCAGAAAGAACACACACAGAAAAUGGGGCUGAUCAGAUGGCCCCUCACUGCCUCUUUUCUCUGCCAUGUCACCAGCAGCCCAGGAAUAGUAGAGUGGAAAUUUGGAGUUGCUAGAAUUGGAUCAGAAUGUAAGCUCUUUGAGAACAGGGAACCUGAGAUCUUGCCUUCUGAGUUGGGGAGAGGAGGAGCCAGCCAGGACCCUGAAGAAGUACCCAGGUGAAGAGUAACCCAAGAGCCUCCUGGAAGUGUGUGCAGGGAGUCAGCGGCCUUCUGCAAAGAGUCUCUGCAGAAGGCCAGAUGCUCCAGAUAACAAUGGGUGUACCCUGGGGCAUGGAAGUGAUUCUUAUUGGGGCUAAGAUCAUGGGUCUGGGAACAUACCUAGAUUCAUGGUUGUCUGGAGCCAAACUGGACCAUGACCCUUCAGGGUUGUUGAUAGUGAAGAGAACCAGCACCAUGGGAAAAAAAGUAUCUCUUCAGAUCCUGACCUUCCGGGACUGAAAGAUGCCAUCACAUACAAUGUUCUGCUCUGCAAUCCAGCCAGCCUCUGAUACUGUUUUCAGGACCUAUGAGUCGACAUCUUCUAAUGCUCCUUCCAAGAGAUAAUGUCUCAAUAGAAGAACAGGAAACCACAGCUUCCAGGUCUGCCUCAGACAGUCUGUAACAUGGGAUCUGUCACUCAGCUCUGCCUCACAGUCACAUGCCCAAUUCAAGACAGCUCAGGCCUGGGGGCAGGGGCAGAAGAUGGGGGUCCCUACUUCUUGCUCAUCUCAUGGACAGCAGCACAGCCCUAGAUGCCAGACUAUAAG